rnacentral:rRNA from 1 species
GGAGGUAGUGACAAUAAAUCACAAUGCGGGACUAUCAGUCUUGCAAUUGGAUUGAGAACAAUGUACAACUCUUAUCGAUAAGCCAUUGGAGGGCAAGUCUGGUGCCAGCAGCCGCGGUAAUUCCAGCUCCAAUAGCGUAUAUUAACGUUGUUGCAGUUAAAAAGCUCGUAGUUGAAGUGUGGGUGAUCGCUGUUGUGAGACUUCGGUCUCUCGACAGUAAGUCACCCCCUUCCAGUAUCCAGUAGUGGGUAUUCACUUACUUACUACUGUGUGUUGGUCGUUUACUGUGAGAAAAUUAGAGUGUUCAAAGCAGGCGUUUGCUUGAAUAGAUUAGCAUGGAAUAAUAAUUGAAGGCUUUCGUGUUCGAUUUGAUUGGUUUGUUCAUGGAAGCAAGGUUAAAAGGAACAGUUGGGGGUAUUCAUAUUCACUAGUUAGAGGUGAAAUUCUCGGAUUUAUGGAAGAUGAACAAGUGCGAAAGCA